rnacentral:rRNA from 1 species
AUCCUCGACGUCAGGAGUCGAACCCGCUAGCUACAGGCUUAACACAUGCAAGUCGAGGGGCAGCAUGAACUUAGUUUGCUAAGUUUGAUGGCGACCGGCGCACGGGUGAGUAACACGUAUCCAACCUGCCGAUGACUCGGGGAUAGCCUUUCGAAAGAAAGAUUAAUACCCGAUGGCAUAGUUCUUCCGCAUGGUAGAACUAUUAAAGAAUUUCGGUCAUCGAUGGGGAUGCGUUCCAUUAGGUUGUUGGG